UACGGGGGGGGCAAGCGUUGUUCGGAAUUACUGGGCGUAAAGCGUGCGCAGGCGGUUUUGUAAGACAGAUGUGAAAUCCCCGGGCUUAACCUGGGAACUGCAUUUGUGACUACAUGACUAGAGUAGGGUAGAGGGAGGUAGAAUUUCCGGUGUAGCGGUGAAAUGCGUAGAGAUCGGAAGGAAUACCAGUGGCGAAGGCGGCCUCCUGGAUUCAUACUGACGCUGAGAUGCGAAAGCAUGGGGAGCAAACAGG
rnacentral:rRNA from 1 species